GGGGACGCGUGGCUUCGACAGGGGAGGUAUGCUGCGGGAUUGCAAGCUGAGGUGCCACUACUCUCAUGAAACAAGUGGCGAAACAUAACUGGCAACGAACCAGUUUUAGUUGCUGCCUAAUUAAAUAGGUGGCACAUCCAGCCUGACUUUGCCUCAAUGGGUUGGGAUUGGGUGCCGUUGAAUUGAGGUGCCACCAUCCCGAUGCCGAUAAGGGUGGUGAAAGAACAAUCGGCUGGCCUGGCUAAACUCGGUCAGCAGAGGCUGGUCAGGCGAGAUAAAAGAGCUGGCUAAGCUUGUAGUAGAUUCCGGGUAGCUUCUCUUGGACGGGGAGUUCGACUCUCCCCCGUCUCCACCA
rnacentral:tmRNA from 1 species